GAAAUGCGAUACUUGGUGUGAAUUGCAGAAUUCAGUGAAUCAUCGAAUCUUUGAACGCACAUUGCGCCCGUCAGUAUUCUGGCGGGCAUGCCUGUCUGAGCGUCGUUUCGACCCUCGCGCCCGGCUUCUGUCGGGGGCGGUGUUGGGGAUCGGCCACACCCCUUAGUGGGAGGCCGGCCCCUAAAUUCAGUGGCGACCACGCUGUAGCCUCCCCUGCGUAGUACUAAAACCACCUCGCAGGCGGAGAGCGGUGCGGCCCGCCGUAAAACCCCCAACUCUUUCUAUGGUUGACCUCAGAUCAGGUAGGAAUACCCGCUGAACUUAA
rnacentral:misc_RNA from 1 species